rnacentral:rRNA from 1 species
UCAGGCCUAACACAUGCAAGUCGAACGAACCCUUCGGGGUUAGUGGCGCACGGGUGCGUAACGCGUGGGAAUCUGCCCUUUGCUUCGGAAUAACAGUUAGAAAUGACUGCUAAUACCGGAUGAUGUCUUCGGACCAAAGAUUUAUCGGCAAGGGAUGAGCCCGCGUAGGAUUAGGUAGUUGGUGGGGUAAAGGCCUACCAAGCCGACGAUCCUUAGCUGGUCUGAGAGGAUGAUCAGCCACACUGGGACUGAGACACGGCCCAGACUCCUACGGGAGGCAGCAGUGGGGAAUAUUGGACAAUGGGCGCAAGCCUGAUCCAGCAAUGCCGCGUGAGUGAAGGAGGCCUUCGGGUCGUAAAGCUC